GCUGCUAAGUUAAUUAUGUUUAAUACCUAUAGGCAUAUUUCUGAAGAAUUAUUGCUAAAUUAGAAACCAAGGCUAUAGGAAGAAGCUUCAAAAGCAAAUCCAAUACAGUUCACCCAAAUGUACCAAAAUCCUCCAGCAGGACAUUUAAGGUGUGUUAGGAAUCAUCUUAUUAACAUUAAGAGAUAUCUUAUUAACAUAUAAGAGAUAUAAUUUCUAUUGCAGUAUUUCAGCUAAAGAAAGUUGAAUAGGGCCAAGGAGAGAAUAUAUGAGAAUAAAACUACCUAUAUGGCUUCUCACUUGGGGGAAGAGAGGAAAAAAGAAAAAAAAGAAAAAUGAAACCACACACAAAAGUCAAGUUACCACCUAGCUAAAAGCUUCCAUGUUAAGAUCCUUAAGAGACAAAAUAAGCAGCACAUGCUACCAACUGUGCAAAAUCCACAAGUAAGAUUACUUUUGAGGCAUGCUGCAAGCUUAUCGCAAGAGCACUCUAGUUGCCAACGGAAGACAAGAGAAAAACCUCAGAGAGGACCAGAACUGUAAUUUUGCAACUGGCACACUAGUGUUAAGGAAAUUAUAGCACCCAUAUUACCCAGCAUCGGAGGUUAGAAGCCUUUACUAUACAGAGUGCUCAAGCUUCGCUGCACCUAUUUGGCACACAGGCUUGGAGAAGGAGAAGGAAAGCAGACUAAAAAAGGCUUUUCUAUGGCUAAUUGGUUAUGGAUAGGCCUCACUGCCCAGGACAGUCUUUCAAGAGAAAUGAGAAUUCAAACAACUUAGCAGUGGAACAACACUUAGAAACAUUAGAACCAAAUACGAUUGCUAGCAGCAUCGAAUGAACAGCAGUUAGCUCCGACACAGGGUGUAGCAGCACCUUACACUUAAACAAGGACCAGUUUUAAAGCUUCACACGAAGCUGAACUACACAGAAGUCAGUAUUUUACAGAAGACCGUAAGAUGAAGCGAGGCCAGAGCUGCACUCUAGUGAGUUUUCCAGAUGCAUCCAGACAAUUUCAAGAAAGAGCACAAGGACAUUUGCAGUAGCGCAGCAAGCGAAACAGGUUUGUGCUGCAGCUGUCACCGAGCCAAACAGCCCAGUUCACGUGGAACGAGACGCAGGUCUCCAGUGUUCAGACCAUGACUGCUUCAACAGAAGCAACUGCAAGAAAAAGCAGCCAUCACGCUCUUAAUUUAUAUUUGUCAGUGCUGCAUCCGUGUCUAUCCCUAACGAGAAGCCUGUCCAGGUGAGAUGACAACUGAGCUUCAGGAGUGACGCUAUCAGAGGUAACACGCCAGGCCCACUGGAGAAUGAGCUUGUGAUUACAGUAAAUUACAUGUAUCAAGGAGAAAAGGGGACCAAACCUGAAUUCCUCCAGGAGCUUGGGCAGUGUUCAUCAUCAAUGAGGAAGGACAAAUUCACUGCGUAUGCAAAACACACUGUGGUCUUAGCAAGGCUUUCCAUGUGGAACUGCAGCCACUGAUUUCAGCACAGAAGGCAAUCAGGCUGGUUGACUGUUCCAGAUUACCUUCUUGUCCUUCCCAUAUUUGGAAAUGGAUUCCAAGAGGACAGGCUCCAUGAGCUUUCCAGUGACUGAGCAGCAGUGAGAACCAUGCAACGCUGAGGGCUCCCGACUGCUGCAGGAGCUGUGAUAAAGCAGAAGCUCAGGAACCAGCAUGGCUUACCUAAACCGGGGAUGGCAGCAGGCUUGAGAAUCACUGAGAAGGCCAUGCUAUUUAUUUCCUGCAGUCACCAGGGAUUUGCAGCGGACAGUGGGGAGAAGAUGAGCUGGACCAGUGUGGAUAGGCUGCAUACAGCUCUGAAGCUUGUUUCAAAAGGAUCCUUUCAGCUGCAGAUCAUUAUAUUAUCCACUCUAAAGAGCUGCCGUUCUGCUCCUGCCCAACAGCUGUCAGAGCUGGGCAAACCCAGAGUGUCUGAGCUGGGAGGUGACUGAGCAUGUUCCACUAUUCUUCUAGAGCUUGGGAUACAUGGUAGGAGACAAACAGUAAACUUGGCUUUCCCAUGUAAUUUGCUGGAAGUCCGAUUUGUUGGCUCUCCUAAGUGAAGAACCGAUGCUGCAGAGAUGUGAGUUGCUUCUGGUAAUGAUUUGACUCCCAAUAUUGCCAAAUACAUCUGAACUACUAAAAACUAUCGAGAAAACGGGCAGCCGCAGUCUCAGAGAGGCGGAAGAGGAGCAGCCGGGAGAACCGCCAAGUCUCUCGCCCGCCUCGUCGGAGCGCGUCGGGCGGCAGCGUCGGAGCGGCCGUGUGCGAGGGCGAGCGCAGGGCGAGGAGACUGGCAGCAGAGCAGCUGGCGGAAGAGGACGGAGGCAACCAGAGAGGCAAGGGAGCGGGCGGCUGGGG